rnacentral:rRNA from 1 species
UACAGAGGUCUUAAGCGUUGUUCGGAUUCAUUGGGCGUAAAGGGUGCGUAGGCGGCGCGGUAAGUCGGGUGUGAAAUCUCGGAGCUUAACUCCGAAACUGCAUUCGAUACUGCCGUGCUUGAGGACUGGAGAGGAGACUGGAAUUUACGGUGUAGCGGUGAAAUGCGUAGAUAUCGUAAGGAAGACCAGUGGCGAAAGGCGGGUCUCUGGACAGUUCCUGACGCUGAGGCACGAAGGCCAGGGGAGCAAACGGG